GACGAACGCUGGCGGCGUGCUUAACACAUGCAAGUCGAACGGUGACCUCGAGAGCUUGCUCUCGGGUGAUCAGUGGCGAACGGGUGAGUAACACGUGAGUAACCUGCCCCAGACUCUGGAAUAACCCCGGGAAACCGGAGCUAAUACCGGAUACGAGACGGAGAGGCAUCUCUACCGUCUGGAAAGUUUUUCGGUCUGGGAUGGACUCGCGGCCUAUCAGCUUGUUGGUGAGGUAACGGCUCACCAAGGCGACGACGGGUAGCCGGCCUGAGAGGGCGACCGGCCACACUGGGACUGAGACACGGCCCAGACUCCUACGGGAGGCAGCAGUGGGGAAUAUUGCACAAUGGGCGAAAGCCUGAUGCAGCGACGCCGCGUGAGGGAUGACGGCCUUCGGGUUGUAAACCUCUUUCAGCAGGGAAGAAGCGAAAGUGACGGUAC
rnacentral:rRNA from 1 species